UACGUAGGGUGCAGGCGUUAAUCGGAAUUACUGGGCGUAAAGCGUGCGCAGGCGGUUUGCUAAGACAGGUGUGAAAUCCCCGGGCUUAACCUGGGAACUGCGCUUGUAACUGGCAAGCUUGAGUGUGGCAGAGGGGGGGUGGAAUUCCACGUGUAGCAGUGAAAUGCGUAGAGAUGUGGAGGAACACCGAUGGCGAAGGCAGCCCCCCUGGGCUAACACUGACGCUCAUGCACGAAAGCGUGGGGAGCAAACAGG
rnacentral:rRNA from 1 species